AGAGUUUGAUCAUGGCUCAGAUUGAACGCUGGCCGCAUGCUUAAUACAUGCAAGUCGAACGGUAACAUUAGGAGCUUGCUCCUAGAUGACGAGUGGCGGACGGGUGAGUAAUGCAUGGAAAUCUACCUUUCAGCGGGGGGCAGUCCAGAGAAAUUUGGUUUAAUACCGCAUGUCUUCUACGGAAGAAAGUAGGCCACUAUUUAUAAGCUUACACUGAAAGAUGAGUCCAUGUUCGAUUAGCUAGUUGGUAGGGUAAGAGCCUACCAAGGCGACGAUCGAUAGCUGGUCUGAGAGGACGAUCAGCCACACUGGGACUGAGACACGGCCCAGACUCCUACGGGAGGCAGCAGUAGGGAAUAUUGGACAAUGGGCGCAAGCCUGAUCCAGCAAUGCAGCGUGUGUGAAGAAGGCCUGAGGGUUGUAAAGCACUUUUAUGAAGGAAGAAGGUCUGAUAGUUAAUACCUAUUGGAAUUGACAUUACUUCAAGAAAAAGCACCGGCUAACUCUGUGCCAGCAGCCGCGGUAAUACAGAGGGUGCGAGCGUUAAUCGGAAUUACUGGGCGUAAAGGGUACGUAGGCGGAUUUAUAAGUCGGAUGUGAAAUCCCUGGGCUCAACCUAGGAACUGCAUUCGAUACUAUUAAUCUAGAGUACAGCAGAGGAAAGUGGAAUUUCUAGUGUAGCGGUGAAAUGCGUAGAUAUU
rnacentral:rRNA from 1 species